CACACACACACACACACACACACACACACACCUGUUACAGUGUUAUUGUAUCAUAUAAAUAUAUAAACUGUUGUGUUUGAAUCUUUACAGUCCCGACAGACUAAAGGACUCCUCCGUCCGUCUGCAGCUCCUCUGAACCAGCAGGUCGAGUUUUUCACGAGGAUCAUUUUACAGCAGAGUAAACAUUUUACCAGACUGACCCUCCGACUCUGUAAAAGAGCGGGAAGGCCAACGCUUUGUGCUCCUCCUCCUCCUCCUCCUCCUCCUCCUCCACCUGCCGCCGUCCUCCUCUGAGAGCGAGGACAGAUGGAAGUCAUGAAUCGGGACUCCAGACUCUCGGCUCUAUCAAGAAAUCCCUUCAUGGAGGGAGGGGGGGGGCAGACUGUUUCCAUAUUGUUUCUAUCAGCAGAGAGGGGACUCCCUCUGUGAGACCACAGCCCCCCCACAGACCCGGUUCACAUGGACCGGACCCGGACAGUCUGACCCGUCCUGCACACGCGUGUUCGUACGUGUUCAUGUUCUUCACUUUACCUUCACAGCCCCUCACUUCCUCCAGGGUCCAAGUCAUUCAGCUGGUACCCCCUUGGUCCCUUUUUGGCCUCCCAGGCCCCCCAGGCCCCCGUGAGCUUCCCACAAAAAGUCCACAAUGCUAUUCAAACAAUAGGCCAAGGGACAAAGAGCACAUUUACACAAGUGGAGCCUUCUUUGAAAGCAAAAAGGCACUAUUGGAAGAUUUCCAAACCUCGCCCCCCGCCCCAGAAAGAAAAAAAACAGAGACCCCUUUGCCCCUCCAUACCCCACCCCUCCGUUAAAAAAAAGGAAGAUCACCAUUCCAGUGAUGGAGACGUGGGAGCCGAAUAAACUACACCAAGCCCAGUCCCACCCGCCAGUCCA